ensembl:snRNA U6 U6 spliceosomal RNA
GUGCUUGCUUUGGUAGCACAUAUACUGAAAUUGGAACGACACAGAGAAGAUUAGCACGGCCCCUGCACAAGGAUGACACACAAAUUUGUGAAGCUUCCAUAUUUAAA